rnacentral:rRNA from 1 species
UGGGGAAUAUUGCACAAUGGGGGAAACCCUGAUGCAGCGACGCCGCGUGAACGAAGAAGGUAUUCGUAUCGUAAAGUUCUGUCCUAUGGGAAGAUAAUGACAGUACCAUAGAAGAAAGCUCCGGCUAAAUACGUGCCAGCAGCCGCGGUAAUACGUAUGGAGCGAGCGUUGUCCGGAAUUAUUGGGCGUAAAGGGUACGCAGGCGGUUUAAUAAGUCGAAUGUUAAAGAUCCGGGCUCAACCCCGCAAAGCAUUGGAAACUGAUAAACUUGAGUAGUGGAGAGGAAAGUGGAAUUCCUAGUGUAGUGGUGAAAUACGUAGAUAUUAGGAGGAAUACCAGUAGCGAAGGCGACUUUCUGGACACAAACUGACGCUGAGGUACGAAAGCGUGUGGAGCAAACAGG